GUGGGGAAUUUUGGACAAUGGGCGCAAGCCUGAUCCAGCAAUGCCGCGUGUGUGAAGAAGGCCUUCGGGUUGUAAAGCACUUUUGUCCGGAAAGAAAUCUCCUGGGUUAAUACCUCGGGGGGAUGACGGUACCGGAAGAAUAAGCACCGGCUAACUACGUGCCAGCAGCCGCGGUAAUACGUAGGGUGCGAGCGUUAAUCGGAAUUACUGGGCGUAAAGCGUGCGCAGGCGGCUAUGCAAGACAGAUGUGAAAUCCCCGGGCUCAACCUGGGAACUGCAUUUGUGACUGCAUGGCUAGAGUGCGUCAGAGGGAGGUGGAAUUCCGCGUGUAGCAGUGAAAUGCGUAGAGAUGCGGAGGAACACCGAUGGCGAAGGCAGCCUCCUGGGAUGACACUGACGCUCAUGCACGAAAGCGUGGGGAGCAAACAGGAUUAGAAACCCUGGUAGUCC
rnacentral:rRNA from 1 species